GGGACCUCAGAAGGGAUCCAGUGCUCCAUGAAGAGGUAGAAGAAGUGACUCAGUGGCCCUGUGAAGAAGAACCUGAGGCCCCACAGCGGGGACCAGAUCCCCCCUCAAUCUUCACGCGGCCAGCUCCUUCUCAACACUGUCAGCUUGGAGACCUCCUCAUUGUUCUGGACAACGCACCAGCUGCUGUCUCAGCCACUCUCAACUCCAGGUACGCGUCACAAGACGGAUUGUGUCUGUCUCAUCACUGCUGUGUCCACAGCGCCUAGAACAUGGCCUGGCUCAGAGGAGGUGCUCAGUAGUAAGACAGCUGUGGUGGCUGCAACCAGCGGGCUUCCGAAGACGAAGGGAUAUUUGUGAGUUUUAGAUCAAAAACAAAACACGACUUCAAAAUAAUCCAUCUAUACAAUCACUAUUGUUGGCCAGAGAACGUGACGUGGAUUUAAUUGGGUAAAACUCCUGAAUCUCUGUGUUCUUUGCAGUUCCAAAAGUGAUUCCGAAACUGGACAUUUUUCAGGAUUCCUAAGUAUUUAUUUUCUGGUUGUUUAAGCUAUGAAAAUAACAGAAACAACUGGCAAUAUUUGAGUAGUUUUCCUCUUUCACGGUCUUUGUGUCUUGAAGUCUAAUUUAGGUUCAGGUGAAUUAUCUGCCCUCAGAUCUCUCGGCCCAAUGAGGACAGCCGCCCCCACUCAUGCGAUUCAAAAUGAAAACCAUAAAACAAGUUAAUGUUAUCCAUCAUUCUGACUUUUUCCC